rnacentral:rRNA from 1 species
AUUGAACGCUGGCGGCAUGCCUUACACAUGCAAGUCGAACGGUAACGCGGAGCAACCUGGCGACGAGUGGCGAACGGGUGAGUAAUGUAUCGGAACGUGCCCAGUUGUGGGGGAUCACUGCUCGAAAGAGCAGCUAAUACCGCAUACGACCUGAGGGUGAAAGCGGGGGAUCGCAGGACCUCGCGCUAUUGGAGCGGCCGAUAUCAGAUUAGCUAGUUGGUGGGGUAAAGGCCUACCAAGGCAACGAUCUGUAGUUGGUCUGAGAGGACGACCAGCCACACUGGGACUGAGACACGGCCCAGACUCCUACGGGAGGCAGCAGUGGGGAAUUUUGGACAAUGGGCGCAAGCCUGAUCCAGCAAUGCCGCGUGCAGGAAGAAGGCCUUCGGGUUGUAAACUGCUUUUGUCAGGGAAGAAAUCCCUUGGGAUAAUACCUCGGGGGGAUGACGGUACCUGAAGAAUAAGCACCGGCUAACUACGUGCCAGCAGCCGCAGUAAAAC